rnacentral:rRNA from 1 species
UACGGGGGGAGCAAGCGUUGUCCGGAUUUACUGGGCGUAAAGAGCGCGCAGGCGGUCGAUUUAGUCGUGUGUGAAAGCCCCCGGCUCAACUGGGGAGGGUCACGCGAUACUGAUCGACUAGAAGGCAGGAGAGGGUAGUGGAAUUCCCGGUGUAGUGGUGAAAUGCGUAGAUAUCGUGAGGAACACCAGAGGCGAAGGCGGUUACCUGGACAGUUACUGACGCUCAGGCACGAAAGCAUGGGGAGCAAAAGGG